CCCCCCCCCACGGUCCUAUAUAGGGACCGGUCCUAUAUACGGCCCCGAGGAGCCUCGCGGGGCUGGGAGCAGCCGUACAGGGACAGGAGUGCUCUUAUAGGGCGGGAGUGGGUUUAUAGGGCCAGGAGCUGCUGUAUGGGACCAGGAGCUGCUGUAUGGUCCUAUAUAGGGACCGGUCCUAUAUACGGCCCGGAGGAGCCUCGCGGGGCUGGGAGCAGCCGUACGGGGCCAGGAGUGCUCUUAUAGGGCCAGGAGUGUCCAUAUGGGACCAGGAGCUGCUGUAUGGUCCUAUAUAAGGACCAGUCCUAUAUACAGCCUGGAGCAGCCCCACAGGACCAGGAGCAGCUGUAUGGGACCAGGAGCCUCCGUAUGAACUGCUUUGUAGGGCCGGGAGCUUCUGUAUGGGACUGGGAGCUUCUAUAUGGACUGCUGUAUGGGAUUGGGAGCAGCUCUAUAGGGCCAGGAGCAGCUGUAUGGGACCGGGAACAUCCAUAUAGGACUAGCAGCGUCCCUAUGGGGCUGCGAGCAGCUGUAUGGGACCAGCACCUUCCAUAUAGGGCCAGGAGCACCCAUAUGUGCCUGGUAGGGUCCAUAUAG
rnacentral:lncRNA from 1 species